rnacentral:ribozyme from 1 species
UUUCCAGCAACUCCUAUCCCUAACUCCUCGUGGCACCAGCCGGGCUGAUCGGAUAAUUAACUCUGGUAGAAGAUGACUGGUGGUCGUAGGCUGAUAGGGAAGG